CAGCCGCCGCGGUAAUACGAAGGGGGCUAGCGUUGCUCGGAAUGACUGGGCGUAAAGGGCGCGCGGGCGGUCACGAUAGUCAGAUGUGAAAUUCCUGGGCUUAACCUGGGGGCUGCAUUUGAUACGUGUGGACUAGAGUUUGGAAGGGGGUCGUGGAAUUCCCAGUGUAGAGGUGAAAUUCGUAGAUAUUGGGAAGAACACCGGUGGCGAAGGCGGCGACCUGGUCCUUGACUGACGCUGAGGCGCGAAAGCGUGGGGAGCAAACAGGAUUAGAUACCCCUGUAGUCCCUGUCUCUUAUCC
rnacentral:rRNA from 1 species